rnacentral:rRNA from 1 species
GACGAACGCUGGCGGCGUGCCUAAUACAUGCAAGUCGAACGCAGGGGGGAUGGGUGAGUAAGACGUGGGUAACCUCCCAUCAGAGGGGGUAAAACUUGGAAACAGGUGCUAAAACCGAUACUGGUGGAGGGACCCGGAGUGCAUUAGCUAGUUGGUGAGGUAACGGCCCACCAAGGCGACGAUGCAUAGCCGACCUGAGAGGGUGAUCAGCCACACUGGGACUGAGACACGGCCCAGACUCCUACGGGAGGCAGCAGUAGGGAAUCUUCGGCAAUGGACGAAAGCCUGACCGAGCCACGCCGCGUGUGUGAAGAAGGCUUUCGGGUCGUAAAGCUCUGUUGUCAGAGAAGCGGUAUCUACCCAGAAAGCCACGGCUAACUCCGUGCCAGCAGCCGCGGUAAUAC